GCUAUGGUGGCUUGUUAUCCAGGCAACGGAACAGGAUACGUGCGCCAUGUUGAUAAUCCAAAUGGAGACGGAAGAUGUGUUACAUGUAUAUAUUAUCUUAAUAAAGACUGGGAUGCCAAGGUAAGUGGAGGCAUCCUUCGGAUAUUUCCAGAAGGUAAAGCCCAAUUUGCUGAUAUUGAACCCAAAUUCGAUAGACUGCUAUUCUUCUGGUCUGAUCGCCGCAACCCUCAUGAAGUACAGCCAGCAUUUGCUACAAGGUACGCGAUAACAGUGUGGUAUUUUGAUGCAGAUGAAAGAGCACGAGCUAAAGUAAAAUAUCUAACAGGUGAAAAAGGUGUGAGGGUGGAACUUAAUAAACCUUCUGACUCAGUUGGGAAAGACGUUUUAUAAGCCUUUGAUUUAGCAACUCCCCUUGCUGUUCUCCCUGAUAAAUCUUGAUGCGAUCUAUUAACUUUUGAAUGUGAAUAACAAGAUAAAGGAAAAUCAACAACAAACCAACAUUUUAAUAAAGAAGCAGUGUUUCGAUGUUGCAUCAAAUAGAAGAUUCUUUGACUGCUGAAGCAUUGUACUAUGUGAUUGUGACUCCAGGCCUGUGACUGCUUAUGUGAAGAAGAUAAGCAAUCAGUAAGAAACAACAUAUGCAUCUGGACAUAAAUAAGUGCCCUACAUAGAAUUUGUCCAUCCUUAUAUUUUGCCAGACCUGUCAUCCAGCUGAAUCCAAUUCAUCUCUCCCUUUUUUUAUAUGGUAAAAGUUUGAAUUUUGGGUAAUUUUGUAUGACCAGGUACAGUUUAUCAAAAUUGAGUCUUAAAAAAAAAAAAAAAGAAAAACUGAAAAAAAAAAAGAAAAAAA